rnacentral:rRNA from 1 species
GACGAACGCUGGCGGCGUGCUUAACACAUGCAAGUCGAACGGUAAGGCCCUUCGGGGUACACGAGUGGCGAACGGGUGAGUAACACGUGGGUGAUCUGCCCUGCACUUCGGGAUAAGCCUGGGAAACUGGGUCUAAUACCGGAUAGGACCACUGCCUGCAUGGGUGGUGGUGGAAAGCUUUUGCGGUGUGGGAUGGGCCCGCGGCCUAUCAGCUUGUUGGUGGGGUGAUGGCCUACCAAGGCGACGACGGGUGGCCGGCCUGAGAGGGUGACCGGCCACACUGGGACUGAGAUACGGCCCAGACUCCUACGGGAGGCAGCAGUGGGGAAUAUUGCACAAUGGGCGCAAGCCUGAUGCAGCGACGCCGCGUGAGGGAUGACGGCCUUCGGGUUGUAAACCUCCUUCAGCACCGACGAAGCGCAAGUGACGGUAGGCGCAGAAGAAGGACCGGCCAACUACGUGCCAGCCGCCGCCGUAAAAC